GGUUUGCUAGCUCAAUUGGUAGAGCAAGAGAUUUUUGUUCUCCAGGUUGCGGGUUCGACCCCUGCGUAAGCCC
rnacentral:tRNA from 1 species